rnacentral:rRNA from 1 species
GACGAACGCUGGCGGCGUGCCUAACACAUGCAAGUCGAGCGGGGUCCAUCCAGUGGCAACACUGGGGAAGACCUAGCGGCGAACGGGUGAGUAACACGUGAGAAACCUGCCCUGAACUCUGGGAUAACCCGAGGAAACUCGAGCUAAUACCGGAUGUCCCCACCAGAUCGCAUGGUCCGGUGAGGAAAGAUUUAUCGGUUCAGGAGGGUCUCGCGGCCUAUCAGCUAGUUGGCGGGUAACGGCCCACCAAGGCAUCGACGGGUAGCUGGUCUGAGAGGACGAUCAGCCACACUGGGACUGAGACACGGCCCAGACUCCUACGGGAGGCAGCAGUGGGGAAUAUUGCGCAAUGGGCGAAAGCCUGACGCAGCAACGCCGCGUGCGGGAUGACGGCCU